rnacentral:lncRNA from 1 species
AGGUAUGAAAUAAUUUCCUAUUGAAGUCAUCUUAACAUGGAACCAGAAUUAAAUCCUAACAACAAUCAUGUGAGCCUGGGGAGGAUCCUUCCCCACGUGAGCCUUCAGGGGAGACUUCAGCCUUGGCCAUCUUCUACAUCUAGAUUCCUGACCAAGAGAAGCUUUGGAGUUUGCUGUUUCGCCCAGGCUGGAGUGAAGUGGCGAGAUCUCCCCUCACUGCAACCUCCGCCCCCGGGGUUCAAGUGAUUCUCCUGCCUCAGCCACCACCAUUUAACACUGAGAAGUGGGCAGUCACAGAGAAAAAGUUUAGAAUAGUUCACCAGUGAAGUCAUCUCAACCAGCACAGGGCCUUGACUCCUAACAACAAUCACACGAACUUGGAAGAGGAGCCUUCCCCAACUGAACCUUCGCUUGAGACCUCGUCCUUGGCCAUCCUCUACAUCUGGAUUCAUGAUACAGAGAAACUUGAGUAAUGAUGACACUAGCAGUCCAGCCUGCAUGGAUGCUGACAUGGAUGCUGUCUCCCAUUCUUACCACUGGAUGGGAAGAAAUGCUAGAUGCAAUCCAGCCAGUCUGUACUCGACUGUCAGUUCCAUCUUCUCAACUCACAGUGUCUUCCAAAGUCCGUGCCACACCACAGCCUGGAACAUCUCCCAAGGUUUCAAAUAAUUCAUCAGUGAAUUCUUCUCAACCUGGUCAAUCAUGUGAACUUAGAAGAUGAUUCCUCCCCAGCUGAUCCUCAGGUGAGACAUCAGCCUUGGCCAUCAUCUACAUCUGGAUUCCUGACCCAGAGAAACUGGAACACUAAGACCCAUUCUUCUUCUCAAGUAUCCAAAAAUAAAGUUGAUCCAAGUAAGAAGUGGACAGCAUAAAAGAUUGUAUGGAAGCUAUAAUGCAUCUACAUCUGCAGUAACUAAUCAUAAAAUGAUUUGUAUGAUCAUUCUUCACAUGAUUAGAAUUACUAUGGGAAAGAAGAAAAAGAAAUGCCUCUCUGGAUGGUGACUAUAACCUAUAGCCUUGCCCAAUAUGACUCAGGAUUUGGUACUGGCUGUGCCUUUCAUGGGAUGCUUACUUAUCCUGGUCGAUGGCCUAAAGCCCAACCGUCCAGCUUAUAUCCAGGGAUAAACUCAGCCUGCGGGGCCUCAGGAAGAAGGUCGUAGCCAUUUCAUUGAGUCCAGGGCAGAAAAGUGGAAGAAAAAUGUGAAUGUGUUAAUUUGAGGACUUUAGCUCUGAGAGGUUUCAGGAUUCAGUCCAAAAUGCAGAAAACAAUAAAAAGCUCAAAAACAAUGGACAAGACUAGAAUCUAACAACAGGGUCUCAAGCCACCCAGGCUGGAGUGCAGUGGCACAAUUAUGGCUCACUGUAGCCUCACCUUCCUGGGAUCAAGCAAUCUUCUUUCUUCAGCCUCCAGAGGAGCUGGGACCACAGAUCCUUUGGCAUUUGAGAGUUGCUUUGUGUAUACGGUCCUUUAACGGAGCAAAUGGCCAGCCAGGAAACCAAAGUAUGGACAAGGGGAAAGAAGCGUCUGUGGAGGAAGUUUUACAAGCGCCCUCCUCAUCCAUUUGGGUGGUGUUGCCCAUAUGCUACAUGUCUGUGGACCACUAUGUGUGUUUAAAGCUUUUUAGUAAAACGUUACUAAAAACUAUGACUCACUGUGGUGAAAAAGGUGGCAAAACAGUGACAACAACUUGUCAUUGCUACAGCAACACGGAGAUGCAUUGACACCCUUCUUCAAUCCAGAGGAUGGGCCAUCAACUCACAAAAGUACAAGGCCUGGAACCAGCUGCAAAGUUCCUAUGGAUCACUUGGCCAGGUUAGAGUUCAGUGGUGUGAUCUUGGCUUACCUCAACCUCUGCCUCCCAGGUUCAAGGACUUCUCUUGCCUCAGCCUCCCAAGUGGCUGGGAUUAUAGGCUGUACAGGAAGCAUAGUGACUUCUGCUUCUGGGAAGACCUCAGGAAAUUUCCAAUCAUGGUGGAAGGCAAAGGGGGAGCCAGCACUUCACACAGCCAGAGCAGGAUGAAGAGAGGGGCUGGAGUGCUACGCACUUUUAAGCAACCAGAUCUUGUGAGAACUCACUCACUAUCAGGAGAACAACACCAGUGGUGCUAAAACCAUUCAUGAAAAUCACCCUCAGGAGCCAAUCACCUCCCACCAGAUCCCACGGCAAACACUGCAGAUUACAAUUUGACAUGAGAUUUGGUGGGGACAAAGAUCCAAUUUAUUUCAGCGAUGAAAAUGUAUUCUUAUGUUCUCUUCUAUGGAUUUGGUCAAUUUGGCUCCUAUAUUUAGAUGCAUUAUUAAUUUGAGUCAAUCAUGCAUAUGGUGCUAGGGAGGCAAUAACUUGCAUGUCAGUGUCCAUUUGUCCCAGCAACACUGUGUGAGGAAAUAUUUCUUUAUAUUGAAUUGACUUGUCAACCUUGUAAAAUUGUUUUACCAUGCAUAGUUUUUAUGAUGUCUAUAGGCAGGAUCAUGUCAUUUGGAGACAUAAUUUGACUUUCCUUCCAAUCGGACUGCGUUAUGUUUAUUUUCUACACCAAUUAUGUUGGGGACAUCCUCCAAUACAGUGGUGACUAAAACUGUGAAAGUGAUAUCCUUCUCUUGUUUCUAAUUUUACAAGAAAGUGUUUGAGCUUCCAGAACUUUUAGGAUGUCAUGUGAGGUUUUCUGUGCUUUCAUGAUGGGGAAAUUUUUCUUAUUUGCCUAACUUGUUGCAUGAUUUUAUAAGGAAUGAAAUUUCAAUUUAGCAAGUGCUUAUUGCUCAUCUUUUAAGAUGACCAUGUGUAUUAUGUCCCUUAUCUCUUAAUAUAGUUUAUGGCACUAAUUCUUUUUCUAUGUUGAACCAAAUUUGCAUUUGUAAGAUGUAUACCUUCGUCAAAAUUUAUAAAUUUUUACAUGUCUGUUAUUUGUUUUAAUAGUAU